UACGGGGGGGGCGAGCGUUGUUCGGAAUUACUGGGCGUAAAGGGCGCGUAGGCGGCCCGCUAAGUCGAACGUGAAAUCCCCGAGCUCAACUCGGGAACUGCGUCCGAUACUGGCAGGCUUGAAUCCGGGAGAGGGAUGCAGAAUUCCAGGUGUAGCGGUGAAAUGCGUAGAUAUCUGGAGGAAUACCGGUGGCGAAGGCGGCAUCCUGGACCGAGAUUGACGCUGAACGGCGAAAGCUAGGGGAGCAAACGGG
rnacentral:rRNA from 1 species